UAGAGUUUGAUCCUGGCUCAGGAUGAACGCUAGCGGCAGGCUUAACACAUGCAAGUCGAGGGGCAGCGGGUGUAGCAAUACAUGCCGGCGACCGGCGCAAGGGUGCGUAACGCGUGAGCAAUCUGCCCGUAUCAGGGGGAUAAGCGAUGGAAACGUCGUCUAAUACCGCAUAACACCAAUGAUGGCAUCAUCGAUGGUUGAAAGCUUCGGUGGAUACGGAUGAGCUCGCGAGACAUUAGUUAGUUGGCGGGGUAACGGCCCACCAAGACCGCGAUGUCUAGGGGAACUGAGAGGUUGGUCCCCCACACUGGAACUGAGACACGGUCCAGACUCCUACGGGAGGCAGCAGUGAGGAAUAUUGGACAAUGGCCGGAAGGCUGAUCCAGCCAUGCCGCGUGAAGGAAUAAGGUCCUAUGGAUUGUAAACUUCUUUUGUACGAGAGCAAUAAGUGUCACGAGUGACACGAUGAGAGUAUCGUACGAAUAAGCAUCGGCUAACUCCGUGCCAGCAGCCGCGGUAAUACGGAGGAUGCGAGCGUUAUCCGGAUUUAUUGGGUUUAAAGGGUGCGUAGGCGGGAUUUUAAGUCAGCGGUGAAACGCAAGGGCUCAACCCUUGACCUGCCGUUGAAACUGGAGUUCUUGAAUGCGGAUGCUGUGGGAAGAAUGUGUGGUGUAGCGGUGAAAUGCAUAGAUAUCACGAAGAACUCCGAUUGCGAAGGCAGCCCGCGGCAGUGUUACUGACGUUCAUGCUCGAAGGUGCGGGUAUCGAACAGGAUUAGAUACCCUGGUAGUCCGCACGGUAAACGAUGGAUGCUCGCUGUCGGCGAUACAUUGUCGGCGGCCUAGUGAAAGCAUUAAGCAUCCCACCUGGGGAGUACGCCGGCAACGGUGAAACUCAAAGGAAUUGACGGGGGCCCGCACAAGCGGAGGAACAUGUGGUUUAAUUCGAUGAUACGCGAGGAACCUUACCCGGGCUUGAAUUGCAGGUUUUGGAUCAGAGAUGGUCUUUUCCCUUCGGGGUGCCUGUGAAGGUGCUGCAUGGUUGUCGUCAGCUCGUGCCGCGAGGUGUCGGCUUAAGUGCCAUAACGAGCGCAACCCCUUUCGUCAGUUGCCAUCAGGUGAUGCUGGGCACUCUGGCGACACUGCCACCGCAAGGUGUGAGGAAGGUGGGGAUGACGUCAAAUCAGCACGGCCCUUACGUCCGGGGCUACACACGUGUUACAAUGGGGCAUACAGAGCGUCGGCUAGUGGCAAGACUGGUCUAAUCGUGAAACUGUCCCUCAGUUCGGAUUGGGGUCUGCAACCCGACCCCAUGAAGCUGGAUUCGCUAGUAAUCGCGCAUCAGCCAUGGCGCGGUGAAUACAAUCCCGGGCCUUGCACACACCGCCCGUCA
rnacentral:rRNA from 1 species